UACAGAGGUCUCAAGCGUUUGUUCGGGAUUUAUUGGGCGUAAAGGGUGUGUAGGUGGCGCCGUAAGUCGGGUGUGAAAUCUCGGGGCUUAACUCCGAAACUGCAUUCGAUACUGCGGUGCUUGAGGACUGGAGAGGAGACUGGAAAUUCAUGGUGUAGCAGUGAAAUGCGUAGAGAUCAUGAGGAAGACCAGUGGCGAAGGCGGGUCUCUGGACAGUUCCUGACAGCUGAGACACGAAGGCCAGGGGAGCAAAACGGG
rnacentral:rRNA from 1 species